rnacentral:rRNA from 1 species
CCUACGGGAGGCAGCAGUGAGGAAUAUUGGUCAAUGGACGCAAGUCUGAACCAGCCAUGCCGCGUGCAGGAAGACGGCUCUAUGAGUUGUAAACUGCUUUUGUACGAGGGUAAACGCAGAUACGCGUAUCUGUCUGAAAGUAUCGUACGAAUAAGGAUCGGCUAACUCCGUGCCAGCAGCCGCGGUAAUACGGAGGAUUCAAGCGUUAUCCGGAUUUAUUGGGUUUAAAGGGUGCGUCGGCGGUCGGAUAAUUUAGAGGUUAAAUCCCGAGGCUCAACUUCGGAAUUGCCUCUGAUACUGUUCGGCUAGAGAGUAGUUGCGGUAGGCGGAAUGUAUGGUGUAGCGGCGAAAUGCUUAGAGAUCAUACAGAACACCGAUUGCGAAGGCAGCUUACCAAGCUACUUCUGACGUUGAGGCACGAAAGCGUGGGGAGCAAACAGGAUUAGAUACCCGGGUAGUC